rnacentral:rRNA from 1 species
CCCGCACAAGCGGUGAUUAUGUGGAUUAAUUCGAUGCAACGCGAAAACCUUACCUACCCUUGACAUGCUAGGAACUUGCCAGAGAUGGCUUGGUGCCCGAAAGGGAACCUAGACACAGGUGCUGCAUGGCUGUCGUCAGCUCGUGUCGUGAGAUGUUGGGUUAAGUCCCGCAACGAGCGCAACCCUUGUCAUUAGUUGCUACGAAAGGGCACUCUAAUGAGACUGCCGGUGACAAACCGGAGGAAGGUGGGGAUGACGUCAAGUCCUCAUGGCCCUUAUAGGUGGGGCUACACACGUCAUACAAUGGCUGGUACAAAGGGUUGCCAACCCGCGAGGGGGAGCCAAUCCCAUAAAGCCAGUCGUAGUCCGGAUCGCAGUCUGCAACUCGACUGCGUGAAGUCGGAAUCGCUAGUAAUCGUGGAUCAGCAUGUCACGGUGAAUACGUUCCCGGGUCUU